AAUUACACAUAUUGGAAAUUUUCAAUUAAUAAUGACAGGUAUAAUUAUAGAACGUUUACACUAGCACUAUUUAUUAACAAUUUCAAAUCCACUCUGAAUAUAUAUAAGAAACAUGCACAUUUACCCGAUUCAAAUCAGUUUUAUAGCAUUAGCUCAGCUGGUGAUUAACACUUUCAAAAUGAAACACUUCAUUUUACUGACAUUAUUCAUUUUUAUGGCCGUUCCAGGGAACUUUACAUUCGAGAUUGCAUGUGUCCUUCCCACCGCUGUUGUAGGACCGUGCAAGAAAACAAUACCGUCAUGGUCGUAUGACAAAAAAACUGGAUCUUGUAAAUUUUUCAAUUACGGUGGUUGCGAAGGUAAUUCCAAUCGUUUCAAAAGUCUGCUCGAUUGUAAAACAAAAUGUAAGCCGGGACCGUUUACCCAUCCUAGAAUGGCCUAGGCUUUUAACCUCAAAAAACAAAUGUUAGCAUUUACCGUGUUGGAAAAAAGCUGGACACAAUAAUAUACAUUAAGGAUUCAAAUCAAUUUGUCAUGUUUAAACUUAAAUUUUAAAGAUGUUUUUAAAUAAAUAAUCAAGUUAAA